rnacentral:misc_RNA from 1 species
UCAUAAACUGGCCUUUUCCUUGCCAAAUAACUUUCUCCCACAAGCUUUGCAUGAUAAGGACUCAAUGACGAAAAUAAUUCCUUGUGUUUUGGCAGUUGCGGUAUUGCCGGCGACUUCACCUGGUUCUUGUUAGCAUCAACCAGUAUGGUAUUCGUCAAUUUUGACUGUACUUCACUGGUUUUGUUCUUUACACCAACUAUGUAAGGAACUGGUGCAUCCAAAAAGUCCAGCAUAUCAUCUGGUAAAAUCGGCAUCAAUAGGCUUUGCCAUUGAUAGGGACGGAUUAGAGGGACAAUUGAUAAAAUCAAUGCAGAUAAGAUUCCCAAAUUAGAACAAACACCACAAUCUGCUUCUCCAGCAGUGCACCGGCAAACAGUGUUAACACAUUCUCUAGACGCAAGGAUCCACAUAUGCAUGCAACAGCCCAUGUUGAUAGUGCAAUUGCUUCCUCCUCCGCUGCGAGCGCACUAUGCGCCUCAGCAAAUUCCAGACUUGUACUGCA